GCCGGGGUGGCGAAACUGGUAGACGCGCCAGACUCAAAAUCUGGUUCUCGCAAGGGAGUGUCGGUUCGAGUCCGACCCUCGGUACCA
rnacentral:tRNA from 2 species